GCCGGGGUAGCUCAAUCGGUAGAGCGUGUGGCUCUUAGUUCUCUAGGAGUAAGAAACCUCAAGGUCGCGGGUUCGAGCCCCGCCUUCGGCU